UAGGUACUCCCUCCGUCCUGAAAUAAGUGACGUGGAUUUGUAUAGAUUCUUAUACAGAUCCGUGUCACUUAUUUCAGGACGGAGGGAGUAUCAU
rnacentral:pre_miRNA from 1 species